rnacentral:rRNA from 1 species
CCUACGGGUGGCAGCAGUGGGGAAUAUUGGGCAAUGGGCGCAAGCCUGACCCAGCAACGCCGCGUGAAGGAAGAAGGCUUUCGGGUUGUAAACUUCUUUUAAGAGGGAAGAGCAGAAGACGGUACCUCUUGAAUAAGCCACGGCUAACUACGUGCCAGCAGCCGAGGUAAUACGUAGGUGGGAAGCGUUGUCCGGAUUUACUGGGUGUAAAGGGCGUGUAGCGGGGCUGACAAGUCAGAUGUGAAAUCCGGGGGCUCAACCCCCGAAUUGCAUUUGAAACUGUUGGUCUUGAGUAUCGGAGAGGCAGGCGGAAUUCCUAGUGUAGCGGUGAAAUGCGUAGAUAUUAGGAGGAACACCAGUGGCGAAGGCGGCCUGCUAGACGACAACUGACGGUGAGGCGCGAAAGCGUGGGGAGCAAACAGGAUUAGAUACCCCAGUAGUC